ensembl:lncRNA
UGAUCAUCACAACCCAAUUUUAUAGCAUUUCCAUCCCAAACCCCCAGUGCGUCCCCCCACCCCCCAACCUGUCUCCUUUGGAAACCAUAAGUUUUUCAAAGUCUGUGAGUCAGCAUCUGUUCUGCGAAGAAGUUCACUGUGUCCUUUUUUUAGAUUCCACAUGUAAGUGAAAGUGUUUGAUGUUGGUGUCUCACUGUCUGAGUUCACUUAGCAUGAUAAUUUCCAGGUCCAUCCAUGUGGCUACCAGUGCUGUUAUUUCUUUCCUUUUCAUGGCUGAGUAAUAUUCCAUUGUGUAUAUGGACCACAUCUUCUGGAUCCACUCCUCUGUCAAUGGACAUUUAGGUUGUUUCCCUGUCUUGGCUAUUGCAAAUAGUGCUUCAGUGGACAUUGGAGUACAUGUGUCUUUUUGAGUCAUGGUUUUCUCUGGAGAGAUGCCCAGGAGUGGGACUGCUGGAUCAAAUGGGAGUUCUAUUUUAGUUUUCUGAGGAAUCUCCAUCCUGUUUUCCACAGUGGUUGCACCAAUUUACAAUCCCACCAACAGUGUAAUCGGGUUCCUUUUUUUUUUUCAUGUUCAUUCUUUUUUUUUUUUCAUGUUCUCUUCCAUCAUUUUGUACCUGAAGAGACCUUAACCCGCUGAGCCACAGUGGGAACUCUGUGAUUAUUUUAAAAGGACGGCAAGCAGGUGAAGGCCCUAGAUAGGGCUGUGGGUGCUGUGGGAUCUCAGACCAGGGCUGAGGGGUUCUGGCUGGAGAUGGACUUUCCCUCAAACCCAUCACCCUCCCUAUUGUCACCAGAUCUGGUGGGCUUCCCUCUGUCCCCCUCAAAUAUGGGGAACGAGUCUCUUCCCUGGGUGUCUGGGAGGAGAGAAGGUCUUUGUUCCGCUAAGGUCUAGGAAGAGUAGAGAAUUGGCUGGAGGUCACAGAAAGCCACCUGGGUCAGUGUGGUUGGCAGGGGGCCGCCCCAUCCAUGCAGGUGAAACCCAGCAGGGCCCUGUGGGCUCCUGGGCACGUGUGUCCCCCAUGUCUGGUUUCUAGGGAAUACGCUUCACCCUCCAGGUUCUUCCCUGAGCCCCAAAGGGCAGGUGCCCACAGGUGUUGAUCAGGGAAGGGAGGGGAUGCAGAGACCCCGAGGGGCCGUCAGGGGACCACCGUGCCGCCUGGGGGCAGGUCCUGGUUCCCCCUCAAGGGAUACACACAGCAAUGUCUUUGAGCUCUUCUGCAGAACUGAACCCCACAAAUGAAAGCCAGAGAGGAGGACCCCCAGGACCUGGCCCGGGGCCACUAAACACCAGCUCUGGAGAAGAAUGCAAGCUUGCACCCACCCUCAUCCUUAUCUGAGGCCUUAUUUUCCACGCCUCAAAUUAUAAAGCCCCCUGCUAAUCCCUUCCAAGGGGGGCACAGUCUUUGAGGCCUGAGCCUGCUGUGGCCCCCUUUGCCUGGCAAAGCAAUAAAGCUAUCUUUUUUCUCCUUCCCCCAAAACUCUGCCUCUGCAUUUCUACUCACCAACCGCAGACAGAGGCUGAGUUUUGGCAACACAGGGAGGGUGGGGGUCCCCAGGGGCCAGUCGUUCCCUAGCUCAGGAAGCAGAGCAGACCUAUGGGGGUGACUGGGGACCGUUCAUCCUGAGCAGGGGGGGUGCAGAGCUGAUGGGGACAGAGUACCAGGCCAGAGGAGGUGAGGAAAUAGCCCACCCACUAGGGGAUUGUAGGUAGGGAAGAAAAGCAUGGAAGUGAGUUAAGGGUCACUUGAGAAAUCAGGCUGGUUUAGCAACAAAACCACGCAGGCUGGCUUAGCAACAAAACCACACAACAGAAGCAUGCGAUGUGACCCCAGACAAUAAAACAGUGGUGAAAUACACCCACAUCCUGCCCCGUGAGGUCAGCAAGUUAAUGAUUCCUUUUCUUUUAUUUUGCUUUUUAGGGCCACACCUGCGGCAUAUGCAAGUUCCCAGGCUAGGGGUUAAAUCAGAGCUGCACCUGGUGGCCUACACCACAGCCACAGCAAUGCCAGAUCCAAGCCGCGUCUACAGCCUACACCAGAGCUCAUGGGUCCUUAACUCAAUGAGCGAGGCCAGGGCGCAAACCCACAUCCUCCUGGUGACUAGUAGGAUUCCUUUCUGCUGUGCCGCCCUGGGAAUGCCAGCUAAUGGUCCUUAAGAUGUGCUGCUCUGCCCACACUCAAAACAAAAAUAUCAGGAGAGGUGACAUUCUGGUGGAUCCUGAGGUGAUUCACCUUAUUUUCAUGUGACUGCCUUUUUGCUCAUCGCCACUGUGCAUGACAGCCCGAGUGUGACAACAGGCUCCUCCAUCUGGACGUGGAGGAGCUGCUGACGGAAGCUUGACGUCUACUGAGAAUGAGGGACAUGGCUCUUCGCCCCGUCCCACUUUUCCUGCGAUGAUAAUCCUGUAGCCACUAAGGUCUCUUGGGCCGCCCGCUUGUACCCUCACAAGCAUCCUAGCACCUCUUUCCUUACUGGUCACUCUGCCUCGAGCUGAAUGCUUUCUGUGCCCAGCCAGGAGAUGCUCUACCUUGCUAAGCCCUGAGAUGCAGUCUGUGGGUUUCAGAGUCACGCUGGACAGGAGUGUUGACAAAAAAAAAAGCACCCAACCUAAAAGCUGGGAGUUAACUUUUCUUUGGGGCAAAAUGAGGACUGAAGCCCAGGAGGCAGCAUCUCAAGGAGCCCUGAGAAACCUCUCUGAGGAGAUGGGGGGCGGGGGAGCCAGGUGAGAGGAGUUUUUGCAACCAAAGGCAGGUAGUAGGAACAAAAGAUUUGCAGAAAACCAGCUCUCUCGAGUUAAGGAAUCUAGUGCUUUUCUAUGGGAAGAUGCAAAAGGUCAGUGAAAUCAUUCCUUUGCCAUGCACCUCAGCUAGGCGCCAGUGUCCUGUGUUUUCACAACCUGAGUUUCCGCGGGGCUCCUGUUCGGCGUGGCUGCAGUCUGCUGGCUGCUAGAUGGCAGGGGUGCUUUGUUUCCGUCCUGAGAUCCCUCAGGGCUCACCCGCUCAGCCUUGGGAGUGGCUGCACUCUCCGAUGACUGUGACAUCCUUUGUACCUAUGUGAGGAAGGGGAAGGGGGAGGUGCCUGCAGCCAGGCAUACAUUCUACAGAAGGGCGCUGCUGGUCCCUUGAAGGUCACUACCAGUCACGAGGAGCAGACGUCACAAUGAAGGAUGUUAGUGCUUUUCUAGAUACGAGGAGAUGCAAGACCUGGGCAUGUAAAAUCUUCUCCUAAGAGAUGUAUCUAUCUGAAGCCCUGUUCUUCUGGUUUUCCCAGAGCACAGAGCUCCCCACUCCUGGUCCCCACCCUGAGCUCCUUUCAGGGGGUGUGGAGGGUUGGCCCCUGAAGCGGCUCAGGAUUCAGUCUGCGUUGAGGCAGGUGGCAUGUGAUGGCAAGUGAUCACACACAAAGUUCAGUGUCCCAGCAUCACUGGGGACCUGGGCAGGUGCAUGCAGGGCAUGUGUGAGGUUCCUCUUACCGAGGGAACAAGUCACCACGACAGAGCAGCC